ACGAGUCUACCUGGAAACACAACACACACCUAUCAACCAAAUGCACAUUCAAACAUCACACACAUAUUACUAGAACCACAAUGAUUUGAACACAAUCUACAUGUUGAAAGCAUUCAAAGCUAUUUGUAGAGGGUUUAACCCAGCUUCAAAUAAACAAACUACAUACAUUCAAUUAGGUAAGUUUAUUUACUGAUUAAAGUACAAAUAAAAAAAAAUUAAAACAUUAUUCAAGCCAAGCCAUUAUUCGAGCCAAAUUUUUUAUUUUUGAUUCUUAUUUUGGUCUAAUAAAGAAAUAUGUUUUCUAACUUGAAACAAAUUAAUAAGUACUGUGCGACUUACAGCAAUAUGCCAGGUAAUCACCACAUGGGAUAAAAUGGUAUAACUGAUAACAUUUCGUCUUUUAUGUUACUGGUAUAUCAGUAAAAUACAUUUAAUAUUGAUGUUUGUAGUGUGAACAGACAUCUAAUUUUAUCAAGAAAUAAUACAUAGGCUUUUUUCCUGUAUUCUUGUGAAUUCUGCUUAAAUUUACAUUAUUUAAUUUAAAAAAAAAAUGUUGUAAUUGUUAACUCUUUCUCUCCGUAAUUAUU